AUAAUGAGCUGUGGAGCGGCUUAAUUUCGACUUAAGUGAUGUUGAUUAUAUGG
rnacentral:tRNA from 1 species